CUUAAUGCUCCAAAGUGUAUUGGAAUCUCGCUUCAAAGGCAGCAUUAUUAGAACGCUGGCGCUUGGUAGCAAGUGACUAGUUCUAAACUCAUAACUUAAAUAAAAAAGUGUGUUGUAAAUAAUUAAAAAUAAAUUCACGAAUCCGGCAGUUAAAUGCAAAUCUGAAUAAGCGUGUAAAAAUCAUUCAGCGAAGGAGUGUUGCUGGCGGCAGCGGUUUUCAGUAGCAAUUGAGCUCUGGCCGUGGCCAGACUAGAUCGUUUCAAUUUCCAAGUAAUUUUAUCAAUUCACGCAAAAUGCAAUUCUCGGAUAUCAAGAACCAAGGCCGCCAACCUAUCGGAGUAGGCAUUUCGGAGGCGGCCAAUCGAGCUGGGCUGGCGGGCGUCGGCGCGUUUAACGAAUUCGACUAUGAAUAUGUGCUGGCGCGCAUUGGUUUCGGCAAGGCACAAUGGUUACUACUGCUCAUCUCCGGCCUUUUGACGCUCAGCUCGAUGGCCACGCAAACUUCGGUGGGAAUCAUGGCCAUAGCGUCACAGUGCGAGUUCGGCAUGAGUCAAGCGGAAAAGGGUAUAAUGAUGGCGGCGUGUGUAACAGGCAUUUUUCUAUCUACAUACUUCUGGGGUUAUGUCAGUGAUGCUUUUGGACGGCGUUCGGUGCUCUUCUACGGUAUUGUUGUCACAAAUCUGCUCCAGUUUAUCUCUAUGUUUAUUACAAAUAUAUGGGUCUUCAACGCAGUCAAUUUAAUCAUGGGCAUAAGCUUAGGUGGCGUCUCCGCUGCCAUUUACGCAUAUCUUAGCGAGUUCAACACUGACAAACAUCGCGCUGUAGUCAUUAAUUAUUCCACAAUGUUCGUAAGCAUCGCUGCAAUCUACAUGCCUGCGACCUGUUGGCUUGUUCUUUCCGCCGAUUGGUCACUUCACAUAAGUGAUAGUUUCAUAUUUCGGCCAUGGCGUUUGAUCAUCCUGCUGAAUCUCUUACCAGGCUUAAUUGGAGCACUUAUGCUGUAUCCUUUCCCGGAGAGUCCAAAGUUACUGUUGGCGCAGGAUAAGGAGUACGAGGCCAUAGCUGCAUUGGAAUGGAUAUGUAAACUUAAUCGGGGUCGUUCUAUAGCAAGUGUUUUUGGCAAUGAUGCCGAUUUCAAAUUAAAACCUGAACAGAUCGGUGAUGAUAAUUUGCGAAGUGCUGGUGGUAUUUGCGGGAUCCUUGUGAAUAUUUGGAGAGCAACAGUGCCACUCUUUCACAAACCGCAUUGUGUGAAUUUCAUAUUGAGCAUUGUUUCGGUGUUCGGUAUGUUUCUCACAUCGGCUGGCAUGCAAAUUUGGUAUCCAGAAAUUGUGAAUCGCUCGUCGGGUGAUAAUGCCGGCAACAGUUCGUUGGUGUGUGAGAUUCUAGAAGCUUCGUUCGAAAAACAACGCCUAAAUGUAAUCUCCGUCGAUAUGGAGAUCUGCGAUGACAGUAUCACGGCCAAGACUUAUAUAGACAAUAUGAUUGUAGGCUGCGCCUUUUUAGUGGGUUUCAUCAUACAGGGUGCCCUAUUGAAUCCUUUGGGUCGCAAAAAUGUUUUAUUAGCCGCAUUGGCCAUUGGUACUCUAAGUGGCAUUCUGUUGCACUUUGUUACUAAUACACAAGUUGUACUGGUGCUAUUCUGCUUGUAUAUACUGAUGCCGGGAUUAUCCAUAUCGAUUAUGUGCGGUGCCAUGGUGGAUUUGGUGCCAACGCAAUUAAGAAUUUUUCGUUUAGAGGUAAAGCGGUUAGUAUUGGCUUGGCGAUGGGUCGCCUGGGCGUGAUAGUUGCUUCUAAUUUGAUUGGUGUUAUGCUGGAGCCCUAUUGUAAUACCACUUUUGCCAUCCUCACGGCGUCGAUUAUAAUCUGCGGCUUUUUAGUGCACUUCCUACCUAUAUGAGAAAGAUACCAAGCUGCUGUUUUGUUUUACGAGUAAGCCUACGAAUGACCCAUAUCAAAAUUUUUAAUGCAUUUUGCUCUUAUUGCUGUGGUUUUACACAAUUUGCUUUUAUUUUCUUGUGACAUUUAUAAUAUUUUAACAUUGGUUAUAAGCUUUAUCAUCCAAAAGCCCUUUUUUCAUAUACGAGUAUAGAUAUAUAUAUAUACAAUUUCAUCUAUAGCGAAAUGAGUUUAUAAAAAAAAAAGUAAAUACAAAUUACAUACAUUUUAGCAGGCAAUAAUUAAAAACUUGCUAUUCUUUUAAUACUGUACAUAAACUCAUUAAGUUGAGGGAAAUUAGUCUCCAUUAUGGGACAACUAUUAUACUUUUAUGGGCCAAAUUCUAAUCUAGCGUUUUUGAAAUAAUCACUGCUGAAUCCUUUGCCAGGGUACUUGAAAUUCAUAUGUUCCAUACUGUUUACCUUAAAAAGGUUCUUCAGCGGAAAAAUUUUCUUUAGCUCGAGCCUACAACAAGAAGAUCACAUAAUGAGAAAAACAUAGAAAGACACUCUAGCCAGAUUUGAUUACAUCACGUAUCACGUCAGGAUUUUGGAGCAAAUGUUGGCGAAGAAGCAAUAAUAUCGGCGCGCGCUUACCGAAUCUGUUAAAAAAAAACAACAGUGUAUUAUAUUAUAUUUUUAUAUUAUAUAUAUUAUUAUAUUUUUUUUCGUGCGUUGAUACAAUUACCUAGCUCGUGCCCGAUCGCCAUAGUAUGUGUCCAGGUCCUGUAAAUAUUUGAGUGCGUCGGCCAUGUUGCUGAUGUCAUUGUUGCGUGGCGGACGGGAGUUGUUGGCUGUUGUUGUGUGUGCGGUCAGUAGUGCUAAGGAAAUAAUCACAAUGAUAGCGAAGCGUGGAAUUGAAGACAUUGCUGUAAAAGUAAAAGAAUUAGUUGUAAGGUUAAAUGCAAUUUUAAACGAAGUUUGUCUAUCUCUAAAGUAAGUAACUACUUUCCUACUGAAGAGAAUUUGCCCGGUGGCAUGCUAACUACAAAUAUUCAUAUGACCUUUGGAAAGGCAAUGCAUUCUCAGCUGCGCACGAACCAAAAACCAAGAAUUAAAAAGAAAUCCUUUGGCUUUAAAGGGACGUUAAACGCUGCUAUUUAGCCCAUCUCGAUAAGAACCGAAGCUGUGCGAACCAUUAAAAAAUCGGCUCCUUAGAUUGAAAUGUGGUAAAUUAUUCGUGAAGUAGGAAGCGAAAAAAAUUUAUGUUGCUUUUGUUUUGUUAAAACUAACUGUAUAUAUAUUCAAAACAACUUCAUAAAUAGAUCACUAUGAGAAUCUAAUAAUUUGAGUCUCAUAACGUGAUAAUUAAUAUUUUGAUUUUUUUCACUAAAGGCAACUGAAGCAACAACUGAUAUUCACAUAAACUCAGUAUUUGGAAAUAAAUGCCAUCGAUUUAGUUGAAGUGAGAACACUUUUCGAAAAAUGUAAUUUACCAGUCACUAUUUAAAUUUACGAACACUAAAUUUGUCUUAAUUUAACUUACUUCUACGUAAUGGCUUCUAACGGAGUGCGCACCAAUUAUUAAACAUUUGUCGCUACCACUCGUUUUGGCUACUAAUGAGCUUCGCUGGUUUCCGCUCCUUUUAUAUCCAUAAAUGUUAUCUGUAUUUCCCGAGAGGAAAUACGAUCGCUCGUGUGUCAAAAAGAGAUGACAAACAAAAGCAACAAUUGUCAUAGCAAUGUGGUAGAAAUGUAAACUGAAUAAUUGAGGCCGGAAAAUGAAAAAGAUGUAAGAAAUGGAAAUAGAAGGCUAAUAAGGUCAUACCUGUUGUGCUUAAUAAAACGUGUUGUUGUUUUGCCAAA